UUGACCUCGGAUCAGGCAGGGAUACCCGCUGAACUUAAGC
rnacentral:rRNA from 1 species